CGGGUCCAGUUGGGUUUGGGUCA
rnacentral:siRNA from 1 species